AACGCUGGCGGCGUGCCUAACACAUGCAAGUCGAACGAAGCAUAGCAAUAUGCUUAGUGGCGGACGGGUGAGUAACGCGUGAACAAUCUGCCCUGUACAAAGGAAUAGCCUCGGGAAACCGGGAUUAAAACCGUAUGACACUUUAGUAUCGCAUGAUAAGAAAGUCAAAUCGAUUAGAGGUAUGGGAUGAGUUCGCGUCUGAUUAGCUGGUUGGCGGGGUAACGGCCCACCAAGGCGACGAUCAGUAGCCGGCCUGAGAGGGUGAACGGCCACACUGGAACUGAGACACGGUCCAGACUCCUACGGGAGGCAGCAGUGGGGAAUAUUGCACAAUGGAGGGAACUCUGAUGCAGCGACGCCGCGUGAGUGAAGAAGGUCUUCGGAUCGUAAAACUCUGUCCUUGGUGAAGAAAAGGACGGUAGCCAAGGAGGAAGCCCCGGCUAACUACGUG
rnacentral:rRNA from 1 species